GGAUUAGAUACCCUGGUAGUCCACGCCGUAAACGGUGGGCGCUAGGUGUGGGGAACAUUCCACGUUCUCCGUGCCGCAGCUAACGCAUUAAGCGCCCCGCCUGGGGAGUACGGCCGCAAGGCUAAAACUCAAAGGAAUUGACGGGGGCCCGCACAAGCGGCGGAGCAUGCGGCUUAAUUCGAUGCAACGCGAAGAACCUUACCUAGGCUUGACAGUUGGGGAAAUCUGGCAGAGAUGUCAGGUCCGUAAGGGCCCCAAAACAGGUGGUGCAUGGCUGUCGUCAGCUCGUGCC
rnacentral:rRNA from 1 species